CAGACUUUCCGGGAGGGGGUUUGGGCCUGCUGCACAGUAGAUCCCUCCUAGAGCGAGGAUUGGAGGCGGAGACGCAGCAGAAAGCCAGUCAACAACAGAGCACCUUGCCAAAACAGCUCCUGUGCGCUCUCGACCCAGCCUUCCCAUUGCUUGCCUCUAAGUGACAGCGACACAAGCCCGUAAUCCUUCCAACAGAGCAGGGGUUUCCUGCGAAGCACCGUGCGACAGACAACUCCUCCGGGUGAGUCUUGCAGGGCUUUAAGCUCUGCAGAAAGAAGUGCUCCUGCCACCCUCUGUCUGGAUCCCUGGCACGCGUCAGGCCUAGUUCUCAUGGUGCGGCUUACUCCCGGGCCCCUAGUCGCCUGCAUACUCCCUGCUGCGACGCGCUAGCGGUGGAGGGUAGGAGACGGACCAGGAAGAAGUUUGGCUUAGUCCAGAGUGUCACCCUGAGAUGGGAGUUCUCUUCCCCCCUCCUCGAAAGAUCGUCUUAAGAAACUCAGCCCCAUCAAAAGCUGGUGUAGAUUCCAGAAAAUGAGUGUUUACCCCUGCUGUGUGCAACCUGAGGCCAAAGUUCUCUUUGAGGGCUGAGGAUUCAUGAAUUCUAGGAAAAUGACCUACCACUGAGGCACACCUUUGGCUAACUUUAAGUCAUCUUCUGCUUUGAAACAGGGUUUCUCUUUAUUACGUUAUCUCUGGUUGUCCUGGAACUAGCUCUGCAGACCAGGCUAGCCUCCAAUUCCCAAGUGCUGGGAUUUAAAUGUUUGGGGGGGGGGGAGCAGGAUUUGCCAUGCUUAUCAGGCUGACUUCAAACUCUUAAGGUCAUUCUUCAUUGUGUGCCUCCACCUGAGUGCUUUCCUUCCCCUUUUUGAAAUACAGUCUCACCAUGUUCCUCAUGUUCGAAUUAAACUUAAAGUCUUCUGA